ACAAAGGCCCUUUUCAGGGCCGCAUUUUUAUCUAUUAUGAGAAAACU
rfam:Bombyx mori DNA, contig: Bm_scaf19378_contig64588, strain: p50T/Dazao, build 2, whole genome shotgun sequence.